GACGAACCGAGCGAACGUUGUUCGGAAUUACUGGGCGUAAAGAGCUCGUAGGCGGCUUGUCGCGUUGUCCGUGAAAAUUUACAGCUCAACUGUGAACUUGCGGGCGAUACGGGCAGGCUAGAGUACUGCAGGGGAGACUGGAAUUCCUGGUGUAGCGGUGAAAUGCGCAGAUAUCAGGAGGAACACCGGUGGCGAAGGCGGAUCUCUGGGCCUUACCUGACGCUGAGGCGCGAAAGCUAGGGGAGCGAACAGG
rnacentral:rRNA from 1 species